GUGGGUUGUGUUAUGUAGUUGAAGUAAUCGUGUAUGAGGUGGGUUGGGUUAUGUAGUUGAAGUAAUCGUGUAUGAGGUGGGUUGUGUUAUGUAGUUGAAGUAAUCGUGUAUGAGGUGGGUUGUGUUUAUGUAGUUGAAGUAAUCGUGUAUGAGGUGGGUUGUGUUUAUGUAGUUGAAGUAAUCGUGUAUGAGGUGGGUUGUGUUUAUGUAGUUGAAGUAAUCGUGUAUGAGGUGGGUUGUGUUUAUGUAGUUGAAGUAAUCGUGUAUGAGGUGGGUUGUGUUAUGUAGUUGAAGUAAUCGUGUAUGAGGUGGGUUGUGUUUAUGUAGUUGAAGUAAUCGUGUAUGAGGUGGGUUGUGUUAUGUAGUUGAAGUAAUCGUGUAUGAGAUGGGUUGUGUUAUGUAGUUGAAGUAAUCGUGUAUGAGGUGGGUUGUGUUUAUGUAGUUGAAGUAAUCGUGUAUGAGGUGGGUUGUGUUUAUGUAGUUGAAGUAAUCGUGUAUGAGGUGGGUUGUGUUUAUGUAGUUCAUGAAAAUAUAAUUUUCUUGAGAAGUUAUUUGUCUUGAAUAACUACUUUCCAAGUGUUAAAAGAAUAUUCAGGGCUUUUAUAAAAUGUCUGAGACAAGCUCUGCCAGUCCAAAUCUCAAUGGCAGGAUGUACAUCAAAUUUGACACCACACCUAUUUUACAAGCCUCCCUUCUUCUGACCGCUAAGGACCCCAUUUAUUCAACAUUUGCACUUUGCAUCAGGUAUCAAGAUUGCACAGUAAGUUUACCAUAGGGAAUUGGACAUAAAAGGUUAAAUGAAAAGGUAAGAAUAAAGGUUCUGAAAGUGAACCAUUUAUCAAGUAUAAAUGAAGACAGUUUGCUGUUUUAGCUUUGGUGUUUCAUCCAAUAAAAACAGGUGCAAACUUUUCACCAG
rnacentral:lncRNA from 1 species